UUUGUCACCAUCCAUCUCCCUAGGUGAUGAUAGUCCUGCUUCUUAUAGCAAAUUAAGAAGUCAUGACUUUAUGGUCCUCACUGGGUAGAAUAAUGGCCAGCUAACCAAAAAUUUUGCUUGACUGAUGGAUAUGGGAAUGGAAACCAAAAAUUUCAAAGUCCUUGGCAAAUUUUUGAAAGACUUCUAAUCUAUUAAUUCAUUUUCCAUUCAUUGAGUCUUGAGGCAUUCCAGAAUAAAUGCAGUGAUCAGAGAGAACACAAAGUGUAGAUAUCAAUUUUAGCGACUGAAUUAGUUAUUUGAAUCACUGAGUUCUGAUAUGUGAACACCUCACUAGCUAUGGGACUGCUUGUGAAAUGGAGUGUGCAGUGCUCUUAUAAUUGGGCAUGGCGAUUGGGUACUGUCACCUGAAAAACAAAUCUCACCACUCUGAUCACAUUUCAGUAAAAUAACUGGCAUUUCUUUUCUUCCUCCCCUUGUGAUUUCUUUGUCUUUAUUCAAUGACAGCUUUUUAGGUUAGAAUUUGGUUGCACACAACUCCAAGUUCCAUUCCUAAUAGGAUGGGGUUUCCUCAAUAGUGUGGACACUGAGAAGUCUAGGAGGCAUCCCACAGCUCAGAGAAGCUGUUGUGUCCUGUCAGCAGUGGCUGGAAGGUCAGCCCAUGACUUAGGGCUAGAGGUGAUCCAAACCCAUCCUACCCAACUUCUUUUCCACUGAAUGGUCAAGUAAAAUUGGAAGCCCAUUGGUCUUUGAGCUGGAUCUUUUCUCUCUUUUUAAUACAAAUGAUUUGGGGAAGUUAAUGUACAGAUGGCAAGAGUGGAUCUUAAGAGGUAGAAAUGUGGGAAGUAGAACCUUAAACAUUUGUUUUAAGAUAGGCGAGAAGUGUUGACUGUCCCUCCCCUGGUUAUCUUUACAUUUGUUUACUACUUCCCCUUCUUUGACUCAGCUCUCCUAAUUCAUGUUCUCAUGUUGGAUUUCUUUCUAUUCCCUUUAUUGUCUGGUGUCUCAUUGCCUCUUCUUGCUCUUCCCCUUCUGCAAUGCAGUAGUACCUGAAAUUGAAGCUCCCUUUAAAAAAAAAAAAAAAAGAAGCCUGAGGCUAAAAACAAUAUUUGCUUAUUACUUCUUCAUUACAAAUAGACAUGAUAAGCAAAAGAGAAAUUUUUCUGUUAUUUCAAACUAGAAAUUAAUCAAAAGUUUUGAAGAAUUGUAAUUAUAUAUAGAGAGGUAUAAUUUCUUAUUUUUCUUAACUAUUUAAGAUUUUAUUCUAUAUUAUCAAUUUAAAAUUAAUUUUAGUUUCUUAUUUUGCUUUCAUCUUUACUCCUUCUCCAUGCCACAAAAGCGAAAUUAAAUUUUAUUAGCUUUAUGGAAGGCCUGUUAGCUUCAUUGGAGAAAGAGUCUUCCCUUGCUCACUUCAGGAUUUAUCUAUUCUUGUAUUUCGUUCUGGAAGUGAGGAAAAUUAGAAGAACUUGAUGUCCAUAUUUGUUCUUCCCCAUGGAAUUUUGAUUCCACUACAACCCCUUUCCUGAAUGUGUAAAACAGGGAAUGUCAUUUCAUUUCCUUACAUUUAUUUUUAUUUUAUUCUGUAUCCCAAUAUCUGUUUUCCUUUCUUUUUUAUCUUAAUAUCUCCUAUUUGUCCCCUUUAUUCCCUUUCAUUUAACCUCAUUUUGAUAGAGUAGUAUGAGUCAGCAUGAGAGAAAAGUUAGUUUUUGUUAUUUUCUUUGAAUGAAAGGUUGGGAACAAAAGUAAUUCCUUCAACUUGAUGAUGUUUACCAAAUAAACUGGUACAUUACUAUAAGUUUUCUAAACUUAUAAUUCACUUUAGUGAAGUAGGAAUUCUGUACUUGAUUUUAGAAAUACUGGAAACAUACACUUCAGCAUCUAAGGAAACUUGCUAGAAUGAAUGUGCGUAUAUUUGCAUUCCAGUAGUGGUUGGGUUUGAAAAUUUAAUAUGUUUUUAUCACAAAAAUCUACAUAAUACUGAAUUACCUAAAGAGAGAUUGGAGUUAAUAAAAGCACUGUCACCCAAACCAUUGUCCAACUAGAAACCUUGUAGUCUUCCUGUCUUUACUUUUCAUUCCCUCCACUACACCCAACAUUUCCAUAUAGCAGGAAUAAUAUUCACAGUGUUGUGCAAAACAUGUAAAUUUUAUGUAUUUCUAGUAUAAAACUUGAAUUGUGACUCUAAGCUUCCAGGGUGUCUAGGUAAGCAAUUUAAGGUUUCAGGUAAUUUCAAUUCAAUCCAGUACCUUUAGGGUCACUUUUAAAUUUAAAACUAAGUCAUUGCAAGGAUCAGCCUCCUGAUCUUUCUUUGGAAAGAUCUAGAUGUGGGGUUGGGAAAGCAUAUGUAGCAUCAUGUGUCAGGAUACAGAGGUGUGCAUUCUUGAUCCUAAUUAAAUGUAUCAGUAUAGAUAGUAUACUGUAAUUACUUCAGUUAGUGGAGAUCAAGAAACCCUCCUAAUACAGAAUCAGUUUUCUCAGAGUAACUUAAGUCUUAGCUUCAACAAUUAAUACUAUCUGGCCUGUGGUUUCCUCCUAAGCUGGUCACUUUGCACUGUACUCUUGUGAUCUCUAGCACAUGAACUAUCUCCACUCCGUUUCCUCAGUGAUGAGUCCACACGAAAGUUGGCGGUUUUCUUCUACCAACAUCUUUGAGAACCAUGGACCAGUCAUGGGGAUUGUUUAGAUUGGUUCCUUGCUUGUGCCUAUCUGUGCAUGAGCCAUAUACAAGCAGCUGUUAUCCCAAUAUCUAGAGGUAGCAAUUUUAAGUGUUCUGUGUUUAAAACAUUAAUGUACAGUUGAUAUUAGUCACUCUUGAUAAUAAUAUUCAUACUACUAUUACUGCUGUAAUCAUGUAACACCUACAUAGCGAUUAAAAUUUGCCACAUACUAUUAGAAGUGCUGGAAAUAUAUUAACUCAUUUAAUUCUCAAAAAAUAUAAUGAUAUACACAAUACUGUCCUCAUUUUGUAGAUGAGACACUUAGGGUAUAAGGUUAAAUAGCUCACCCCAGGUUGUAUUUAAACAGCCGAACCAGGUAAUAUGACAUUAGGGUCUGUCCUCUUGAUUCCUAAAGUUGAUGGGGGACCUCCAUGUAUUUUACUUUUCUCACUUCUGCCAACUCUUUUGUCCUCAGUGGCCUAGGGGUUGGUCUUAGUUGGGGGAUGGUGCUGGUGGGUUGUGGGGGAACUUGUUCAUUGGAGAGAAGAUCUCAUUUGCUUUCGUAUACCCCACUGACUCUCCCCUGAAUUCUAACUUUUUAGAUUCAGAAACUGCAGAUUUGAGAUCUUUUUGUUGCUCUUUUCCUUCUCUUGCCCCCAAUAUCUGACUCCUCCCAGUAAAAGGAUGCCCUUAUAGUCUAAGGUCUAGCCAGUAUUGGUCACAUGGAAGGAAAAACAGAGCACAAUAGUGUUUCAAAUUGUUAAUCUGUCUAAAAUACACUCACCAAAGAAAUUCGCUUUAUCCUAUUUCCUGCAGAUCUAUUAGUUGACCCUCAUGAAAAUGCCACUUUUGUACGUUAAAAAUGGUGAAUGGCAACGAUUUCAUGUGGUUACCCUACUUUGACUCGAUCAAUUUCCUUAUAGGCUCCCAAUCAUUGCAAUGAUUCAGGCCACCAUCAUCUCACAACUAAAAGUCAUCCCAGUAGUGUUUUAAUGGAUCUUCCUGCUUCUCAUUUUGCCCUCUCCCAUUUGUUUGUUAUGCUUCAGCUAGAGUAAGCUUUAUAAAAUACAACAGUAUUGAACCACUCCUCUGUGUAAAAUUCUGUAAUGACAUCUGAUUGACCUUAGUAUAAAAUCCAAGCUCCAUUAAUGUGGCUUAUAAGUCAUGUAGCCAUACGUCCAAGCUAGUCUCUGACAGCCCUGGUUUUUCCUCCUGCCCCGGGCUAAUUAUUAAUGGUACCCCCUUUUAGUCUCACAAAUGGCCUAGUUUGGAUGAUGAAUUAUAUGAUCACUGUUUUUAUAAGGUACUCCAUGAUCUGGCCUCUGCUUUUCUCUCCAGCCUCAUCUCUCACCACUUUGAAUUAUAAUCGGAGCUGUAGCCACCCUGAACUCCUUUGGAUUUAUAGACCGUGUCAUGUACUCUCUCUCUCAGUUUUGAAUUUGGGCCCAUGAUGGUGUCGUUGCCUGCAAUACCCCGCUGUUAGCCUAAUUCAUGCCAGUUUGUCAGGAUUGCAUUUAUAUACUUCCUGCCAGAAGAACCUCUUGAUCUCUAGACCAGCUUGAAUUCCCUGGUUUUCUGACUCAUAUUUGCUCUAUACAACCCUAGUCAAAUCCUCUUCCCAUUUCACCAGGUUUGAAUCUAAUUUCUGUGCUUCCUUUCAGAGUGUUAGUUCUGGCAAGACAGUGCCCUCAGUUUACUCACUACUCUAUUCCUCGGGCUUAAGGAGUGGUUAUUGUUUCAUUGAUUUUACUAAAAAUAUAUUUAUCUGUGUUGACUACAUUUAUGAGACAAAAACAAUUUUAGGGUGACUUUGCUGUUUGACAUCUGCUCCUGAAUUUUUACGAGAGAGAUGUUGAGAGAAUAUACACUGUAAUAAGGGAGAAGAAGAGAAAGGGAGACCAGAAGAGGACCAAGUCUUGAGUAUAAAGAAAAGAAAAAAAUAGAAACUGAGAGCCUUAGAACUGACAAUUUGGAUGGACACCUACAUGCUGCUUCUGAUCUUCUGAUCCUGUCUUUCCUCUGCUGCUCCCACUUAUCUUAGCAGGGGCACUGAAAAAGCCUGAAACCCCAUUGCAUUUUACCUGCAGUGUGCAAACUUAUUACAACUUCAUGUAUAGUAACAUAAUUUUCAAAGUAAUUAUGUUUGAGUUUGAAGAAGUAUUGGACUACAGUAAUCUCUCCUUUUCAAAGUUGGUAAGAGUUAUGUUAAAACAAAAACAAAACAGUUUCGGAAAUGGUGCCUGAAAGCAAGGGCUGUUUAAAUCCAAUUGAUGGCAUUCACUUCCAGAAGGCAAAAGUGGGAAGCUGUUUGUAAGCUCUUGUUGUAAGUCAUUGUUUGCAGGGUAUUAUUGUGGGUUGAAUUGUGUCCUCAAAAAAGAUAUGUUGAAGGUUUAACCUCUGGCACCUAUGAAUGUGUGACUUUAUCUGGCAAUAGGAGCUUUACAGAUGUAAUAAAUUGAGAUGAGAUCAUUCUGGGUUAAUAUGGGCCCUAAUCUUAUGUGACUGGUGUCUUUAUAAGAGGAUGAGAGACAAAGAUACAGGGAGGUCAUGUGAGGAUGGAGGUAGAGAUUGGAAUGAUGCAUCUCCAAGCCAAGCAACACCAAGGAUUGCUGCCACCACCGGUAGCUAGGAAAGAGCCACGGAAUAGAUUCUUCCAUCUUGAUUUCAGGUUUCUAGCCUCCAGAGCUACAAAAGACCAAAUUUCUAUUCUUGUUAAGUCACCCAGUUUGUGGUAAUUUAUUAUGAUGGCAUUAGGAAACUAAUACAGCAAUUGUAAAAGGAAAAAAAACUAUAUCCAAUAUAUUUGAUACAGAAAAGAUGGAAAUAGAAAUGGCAGAAUGAGCAGAUUUAAAUUCUGUGUUGUGAUUUCUUAUCACUCUCAAUCCCACUGCUCAUUCUUUUAAUAACACAGUUCCGCAAUGACCCAUCUACAGUAGUAGACUGAUCAGUGCUCGGCCAGGCUGUAAAAGUGCAUAAACUCUGAAGUCUCAGUAGCUGAACAUUACAGAGGUUUAGUUCCAUCACACAAAGUCAGAGACAGGCCCAUACAGCGACUCGGGGUCCCUAUGCUCCUCCUUUUGUGCUGUCUCCAACUCAGCAAUUGGCUUCCGUGGUUGCAAGGCCAGAGGAUGAGACAAGUGCUUCAGCUAGGAAGUCACACACAUUUCUCUGAUCUACAUUUUAUUAUCAAGAAAUAGUCAUAUGGCCUUACUGUCUGCAAGGGUGCUGAAAAGUAUAGGGGUCACAGGAGUAUUUGGUGAGACCCACUCUCUCUCUGCUAAAUUAUAAUGGCAAAAGAAAAUAGGCUUCAAAAUCUAUGAAAAUCACACUCUCUUUUCAAAGAUUCCAGCUACUCCCCAAUUUUAGUUUCAAUUUUUAUCCUAGUAAUAGUCUUUUAAAAGCUUCUUUUCACAUAUAUACAGCUAUCACACACAUUCCAUUUCUCAGUGUUGUAUUUGUUCAUGCCAGAACUAGCAAUUGUAAAAAAAACCUUCUUCUCCA
rnacentral:lncRNA from 1 species